UACGUAGGGCGCAAGCGUUGUCCGGAAUUAUUGGGCGUAAAGAGCUCGUAGGCGGUUUGUCGCGUCUGCUGUGAAAACUCGAGGCUCAACCUCGGGCUUGCAGUGGGUACGGGCAGACUAGAGUGCGGUAGGGGAGACUGGAAUUCCUGGUGUAGCGGUGGAAUGCGCAGAUAUCAGGAGGAACACCCGAUGGCGAAGGCAGGUCUCUGGGCC
rnacentral:rRNA from 1 species